rnacentral:rRNA from 1 species
UACGUAGGGGGGCAAGCGUUGUCCGGAUUUAUUGGGCGUAAAGAGCGUGUAGGCGGCCUGAAAGGUCAGCUGUGAAAACUCGAGGCUCAACCUCGAGACGUCGGUUGAAACCAUCUGGCUAGAGUCCGGAAGAGGAGAGUGGAAUUCCUGGUGUAGCGGUGAAAUGCGCAGAUAUCAGGAAGAACACCAAUGGCGAAAGCAGCUCUCUGGGACGGUACUGACGCUGAGACGCGAAAGCGUGGGGAGCGAACAGG